rnacentral:rRNA from 1 species
CCUGACUGCUAUCGGAUUGAUACUAAGCCAUGCGAGUCAUUGUAGCAAUACAAGGCAUACGGCUCAGUAACGCGUAGUCAACCUAACCUAUGGACGGGAAUAACCUCGGGAAACUGAGAAUAAUGCCCGAUAGAACACUAUACCUGGAAUGGUUUGUGUUCCAAAUGAUUUAUCGCCAUAGGAUGGGACUGCGGCCUAUCAGUUUGUUGGUGAGGUAAUGGCCCACCAAGACUAUUACAGGUACGGGCUCUGAGAGGAGUAGCCCGGAGAUGGGUACUGAGACACGGACCCAGGCCCUAUGGGGCGCAGCAGGCGAGAAAACUUUGCAAUGUGCGAAAGCACGACAAGGUUAAUCCGAGUGAUUUGUGCUAAACGAAUCUUUUGUUAGUCCUAGAAACACUAACGAAUAAGGGGUGGGCAAGUUCUGGUGUCAGCCGCCGCGGUAAAACCAGCACCUCAAGUGGUCAGGAUGAUUAUUGGGCCUAAAGCAUCCGUAGCCGGCUCUGUAAGUUUUCGGUUAAAUCUGUACGCUUAACGUACAGGCUGCCGGGAAUACUGCAAAGCUAGGGAGUGGGAGAGGUAGACGGUACUCGGUAGGAAGUGGUAAAAUGCUUUGAUCUAUCGAUGACCACCUGUGGCGAAGGCGGUCUACCAGAACACGUCCGACGGUGAGGGAUGAAAGCUGGGGGAGCAAACCGGAUUAGAUACCCGGGUAGUCCCAGCUGUAAACUAUGCAAACUCAGUGAUGCAUUGGCUUGUGGCCAAUGCAGUGCUGCAGGGAAGCCGUUAAGUUUGCCGCCUGGGAAGUACGUACGCAAGUAUGAAACUUAAAGGAAUUGGCGGGGGAGCACCACAAGGGGUGAAGCCUGCGGUUCAAUUGGAGUCAACGCCGGA